CUUUCCACCCGCGCCGCACAAGGAUGGAUAAGGUGAGCGCUCUGAGCUACGGAGCAGUGGAAAAAAGGCUUCCUCUUAUCUAGCAAGCGAGGUCGAGGCUGGCCGCGAUUAUCUGGCGAGCGAGGUCGAGGCUGGCCGCGAUGCAGACGACGCCGGGCGCGGAGGCGGCUAUCUCCGGCCAGAUCCGGUCGAGGAGGCGCGGCAGGGGCUGGAUCCUGUGCCGGCGACGGCGUGGAUGCGAUCUACGAGGCGCAUGAGGAGGUCCAAUGGUGGGGCUUCAAUUCCAAGUUCAUCGCGCCGGCGUUCCUCGCCGGUACCGAGCGAGAUGGCUAGCUCCGGCGAAGUCUCUCCAUCGAUAUGGUGGCUCUGUACGGGCGUGGAGGCGGCUAUCUCCGGCCAAAUCCGGUCGAGGAGGCGCGACAGGGGCCGGAUCCUGUUCCGGCGACGGUGUGGAUGCGAUCUACGAGGCGCAUGAGGAGGUCCAAUGGUGGGGCUUCAAUUCCAAGUUCAUCGCGCCGACGUUCCUCGCCGGUACCGAGCGAGAUGGCUAGCUCCGGCGAAGUCUCUCCAUCAAUACGGUGGCUCUGUACCUGUGAGAGAGACAUAGGUGAGGGGAGAGGCAGGGAGGAGAGGGUCUGAGGAGCCACAGGGAAGUCUUGGUGGUGCCCGCCUCCUACAGCAGCACUGGUGAGUGCGGCCAAAGAGAGAGAGAUGAGAGAGAGCCAGGAGGAAGAAGGAAAGGAAGGAGACUUCAGGAAGGGGUGGCGGGAUCCUGCGGUGCUGGGUUCGAGCUCCGUUGGUGGUGCUACUGCUGCUGUUGGACAAUGGCCGAUGGGACUUGGUAAGAGAAAAACAUGGACUUGGUAAGUCCUUCUCCCUUCUUUGAUUAAUAUUGGGAUUCCGUUGCUAUUUGAUGGAGAGCAGCCACCAAAAAUUCCUCUCUUGAGCAACGCUCCCUCCCUCCCUCCCUCUCGAAUCUGAUUCAUCACAAGAAUAUCAACAGGCAACAUCCUACCUCCAGAAUGUUUGGGGCCCCUAGGUAUUUGACUGAAUAGCACGGGCUCGCGUGUGUAUGUCACCAUGACAGUACUGCACUUCAAGAUUUCAUAAGUUUAAUCUUUAGUUCUAACAUUAUCUUUUGUGCAGAUAAGGAUGGCAGUAGAAGAGCUUGACGACAAUGAAUGACAACCAUAUGGACAUUUUUUUAGUAGCCAAUGAAUAUAGGCCAGUGAGCCAUGGAUUUUGGUUUGCUCCUUUUCUCCUUUAUGUGAUGAGGCAAGGAACAUGCUAAAGGGGAUAUUGUCAAUGCUGCAUAAUUAUGUUGUAUGAUGUUUACAUAUUUUCGGACCUCAUCUCAGUACAAUUCUGUAUUUAUUUUGGGGCCUAAUGGUGUUUAGUUUCAUUAACUUUUUCUGUUCAUAUACACGAAUAGCAGGAUUUCAGGCCAGUAGACUGUUACACCAGCAGUUUCAUUUAACUUUUAUUCAUUAACAGUGAGAGAAAGAUAUCCUGACAAUUUGUCCGCUGGAAAAUCUUACGUACUAUUUGUUUCAUGUAGGUUCUAGAAUUGCUUGAGGUUGUACAGUUUAGAUGUCCAGACACUUCAAUGAAAUACUCUCAGUUGCUUUCAAAUCCGAGAGUUGGAUUGAAGGUGUGCAUUUGAACGUGUGAAAUUAUUAUUUUGAUUUUUGGUCUCUCAUCAGCUUGUUGAUUCUUAGCUUGAAGAGAUCCUAUAGAAUUCUGCAACAUCUGAAUUUGGUGGUGUAUAUUGUUUUUCGGAGAGAGGUGAUCGACAGAUUGAUCUGGAUGCGUUCCAUCAAAAUCUUAUCCAAGUUGCGUGGUCAGUCCUGUUCAUAUCGGGUUUUGAGAUUAUUAAGUUGCUUAUUUUGAAGUUCAGAUGUCACAAAAACUGCACACAAUUGAGCGAGUCUAAGAAAGAAGAGCUAAAAGAAUCGUUCCAUCACAUGCUGAAAUGGGCCCGGAGAUAUAACAAAAAUCUUGAUACAGGCAGCCCAGCUUGAAACUAGCUGGUCUGAAAUUCUUCAAAUGAGUUGUGUGUGUGCAUGACCACUUAAUCUUUUCAGUUGGAAAUUGGAUAUAGUAACCCGCUUGUUGUUAAUUUCAGCUAGCUGUAUCAAGAAGGAUGUCAUUGCUUGAGGAUCGUUCACAGUUAUUGUUUGAAGUCGACGACAAGUGCUAUCAUCAUGAGGCCAGACAAGUCGUUGUGCCAAUCCAAUGACUUUCCAUUUCCAACAAUGGAAAGUCAUCCGAAGAAUCAUGUCUCGGUGAGUAGUCCAGCUCCAGCAACAAGACCACAUCUGGUUUCCACCAAGAAGCUGGACCAGCGGCAUUGUACUCAGUAGUUAAGGGCGUAUUUCUGAGGGGAGCAUACGUAUUACCGUGAUUCCCUUGAGUUUCGUGUGCUGCAUUACCGUUAUAAGUUACCAGCAGCAAAGAAAGAGAGUCACGUACUAAUACAUGAUAAGGACAAGUGCACUGAGGAAUAAGUAUGCAGAGAAGCUUUGAUUCAUCACCAUCUACAUAUACUUAGAAUAUAACUCACAAGCUUCCUUGAGCAUGUCUGGGCCGAAGAUACGACUGUCUCCUGUUUCUGACCAAUUUAAUGGGGUACGACAUCUUCGCCCGUACAAGGCUUGAAAAGGUGCCAUCUGUAGACUGGCUUGGUAACUGUUGUUGUACACGAACUCGGCAUACGGCAAGCUUUCUUCCCAGCUGGUUCCAUAGGUGAGAACACAUGCUCUUAGCAUGUCCUCUAGAAUUUGGU